UUGAAUAUGGUGUAACGGCUAACAUUGCCGCCUCUCAUUCAAUUGACCCCGAUACUUCUUUCGCGGUAGCUCGGGGUUCGAUUCCCCGUAUCCGAA
rnacentral:tRNA from 1 species